rnacentral:rRNA from 1 species
GAUGAACGCUGGCGGCGUGCCUAAUACAUGCAAGUCGAGCGAACAGACGAGGAGCUUGCUCCUCUGACGUUAGCGGCGGACGGGUGAGUAACACGUGGAUAACCUACCUAUAAGACUGGGAUAACUUCGGGAAACCGGAGCUAAUACCGGAUAAUAUAUUGAACCGCAUGGUUCAAUAGUGAAAGACGGUUUUGCUGUCACUUAUAGAUGGAUCCGCGCCGCAUUAGCUAGUUGGUAAGGUAACGGCUUACCAAGGCGACGAUGCGUAGCCGACCUGAGAGGGUGAUCGGCCACACUGGAACUGAGACACGGUCCAGACUCCUACGGGAGGCAGCAGUAGGGAAUCUUCGGCAAAGGGCGAAAGCCUGACGGAGCAACGCCGCGUGAGUGAUGAAGGUCUUCGGAUCGUAAAACUCUGUUAUUAGGGAAGAACAAAUGUGUAAGUAACUAUGCACGUCUUGACGGUACCUAAACAGAAAGCCACGGCUAACUACGUG